rnacentral:rRNA from 1 species
ACUACGGGAGGCAGCAGUGGGGAAUAUUGCGCAAUGUGCGAAAACCUGCCGCAGCGACGCCGCGUGAGGGAUGAAGGUCUUCGGAUCGUACACCUCUGUCAGCAGGGAAGAACGGUCACUGUGCUACUCAGCAGUGAAUUGACGGUACCUGCAAAGGAAGCACCGGCUAACUCCGUUCCAGCAGCCGCGGUAAUACGGAGGGUGCGAGCGUUAAUCGGAAUUACUGGGCGUAAAGCGACCGUAUGCGGUAUGUCAAGUCAAGGGUGAAAUCCCCGCGCUCAACGUGGGAAGUGCCGUUGAAGCUGGCAAACUGGAGGGUGUGAGAGGAUAGUGGAAUGCCAGGUGUAGGAGUGAA